rnacentral:rRNA from 1 species
AGAGCUCAAAUUUAAAAUCUGGCAGGCUACGCUUGUCCGAAUUGUAAUCUCGAGAAGUGUUUUCCGCGUUGGCCUGUGUACAAGUCCCUUGGAACAGGGCGUCAUAGAGGGUGAGAAUCCCGUCCUUGACACAGACACCCAAUGCUUUGUGAUACACUCUCAAUGAGUCGAGUUGUUUGGGAAUGCAGCUCAAAAUGGGUGGUAAAUUCCAUCUAAAGCUAAAUACUGGCGAGAGACCGAUAGCGAACAAGUACCGUGAGGGAAAGAUGAAAAGCACUUUGGAAAGAGAGUCAAACAGUACGUGAAAUUGUUGAAAGGGAAACGAUUGAAGUCAGUCGUGCCUGCCUAGUCUCAGCCUUUUGGUGUACUACUAGGUCGGCAGGUCAGCAUCAGUUUGGGAGGAUUAACAAGGGAGCUAGGAAUGUGGCAACCUCGGUUGUGUUAUAGCCUAGUUUCGCAUUGAUCUUGCUGGACUGAGGAACGCAGUGCGCCCGCACGGGUUGGUCUUCGGACACAUUCGCACUUAGGAUGCUGGCAUAAUGGCUUUAAACGACCCGUCUUGAAACACGGACC